rnacentral:rRNA from 1 species
AGAGUUUGAUCAUGGCUCAGGACAAACGCUGGCGGAAUGUAUUAGGCAUGCAAGUCGCACGAUCACUUCGGUGGUAGUGGCGGACGGGUGAGUAACACGUGGGUAACCUGCCUCGUAGUGGGGAAUAACUCGCCGAAAGGCGAGCUAAUACCGCAUAACACUUCCGGUGAGAAUCCGGAUAGUAAAAGCUCCGGCGCUAUGAGAGGGGCCCGCGGCCGAUUAGCUUGUUGGUGGGGUAACGGCCUACCAAGGCGACGAUCGGUAGCUGGUCUGAGAGGAUGGUCAGCCACACGGGGACUGAGAUACGGCCCCGACUCCUACGGGAGGCAGCAGCUAAGAAUCUUGCGCAAUGGGCGAAAGCCUGACGCAGCAAUUCCGCGUGGAGGACGAAGGCCCUCGGGUCGUAAACUCCUUUUGCGAGGGAAGAAGUUCUGACGGUACCUCGCGAAUAAGCCACGGCUAACUACGUGCCAGCAGCCGCGGUAAUACGUAGGUGGCGAGCGUUGUCCGGAUUUAUUGGGCGUAAAGCGCCCGCAGGCGGCUUGAUAAGUUUCAGGUGAAAUCUCCUGGCUUAACUGGGAGGGGUCCUGGAAAACUGUCAGGCUUGAGGCAGGGAGAGGGAUGUGGAAUUCCCGGUGUAGUAGUGAAAUGCGUAGAUAUCGGGAGGAACCCAGUGGCGAAGGCGGCAUCCUGGCCCUGUCCUGACGCUCAGGGGCGAAAGCGUGGGGAGCAAACCGGAUUAGAUACCCUAGUAGUCC